GGAAUACUCUUUUAAAUUGUUAUACGAGUUUUGAAAAUGCUCAUUCUCGGAGGUACGAAGUGUUGUGCCCUAACUUACCGGGUAUGACAUUUCGUCACCUCGAAAUAUGAAUUUGUUUUAAAACAAGGGCAAUAUUCGGUGUUUGAGAACUCGGGAAAACAUACCCUAACUUACUGGGUUUCGAUUUUUCUCGUUUACUCUAAAUAAU
rnacentral:lncRNA from 1 species